AUUAAUACUUGUGUGCAUGAUGAAUUUGGCAUAUUUAUAAGAGCCAAGAUAUUGUGGAUGCAAUCGGCUGUAAAGGUAGUUGUUGCAUAGUGUUUAGUUUAUUGAAAGCAAUGAAGUGGACUUAAAAUUAGGAAAGAGGAUUCAACAAGUUAUAUUUUCUAUGCAUGUCAAAGUGGUGGUUUGGGGGAUUGUUUCAAUUUCGUAGUACAUGAUAUCAUUGAGUUAGGUUCAAUGUGACAUUGAGCAGUGAUAUUUGAACAACCAUUUUAUAUAAUUUUU
rnacentral:lncRNA from 1 species